GAUGAACGCUGGCGGCGUGCUUAACACAUGCAAGUCGAGCGAAGCAUUUAGGACAGAUUACUUCGGUUUGAAGUUCUUUAUGACUGAGUGGCGGACGGGUGAGUAACGCGUGGGUAACCUGCCUUGUACUGGGGGAUAGCAGCUGGAAACGGCUGGUAAUACCGCAUAAGCGCACAAUGUUGCAUGACAUGGUGUGAAAAACUCCGGUGGUAUAAGAUGGACCCGCGUCUGAUUAGCUAGUUGGUGAGAUAACAGCCCACCAAGGCGACGAUCAGUAGCCGACCUGAGAGGGUGACCGGCCACAUUGGGACUGAGACACGGCCCAGACUCCUACGGGAGGCAGCAGUGGGGAAUAUUGCACAAUGGAGGAAACUCUGAUGCAGCGACGCCGCGUGAGUGAAGAAGUAAUUCGUUAUGUAAAGCUCUAUCAGCAGGGAAGAUAGUGACGGUACCUGACUAAGAAGCUCCGGCUAAAUACGUG
rnacentral:rRNA from 1 species